CGGUUUUCGGGCUUUUCGGGCCCAAAAUUGAGUUUCCCAUCUUUCAGUCCAGUAAUAUGCAAAAUAUCACCAAAUUCAAUAGGAGGCAAGGUUUGAACCCCUGACCUCCUACACGAAAGGCUCACUCCCAACCACCGGAGCAGGAGACUCUCUUGAUAUUAUAUGUGCAAAAUUUAUAUUUAUUCCAUCUUUGGAAACUUUUCUUGGUGGUUGAGACAACUUUUCUUGGUGGGAGACAACUUUUGUCAUUUCUUUUCUUUUCUUUUCUUUCUUUGUCUCCUUUGCACCCGGUCCUUUCUCUUAUUCUUGGUAGAUGCAGCAGCUUUUCUUUUCUUUAAUGCUUGGGACAAUGGGAAGUGAGGCAGCAACAACGUGGAGACGGAGAUGAGAUCGAUGUGGGCAAAACGGCGAGCCCUCUCCUUUUCAGCUUCAAUACUCCUCGUUGUGGCGAUGAGCUAGGGAGCUGCCUUAGGCAUAUUUGUAACGAGUUGGUGAUUUGCAUAUGCAGGUCCAGUCGACGAUCCGGGUAGCUUCUUUGAGCGGGAGGAGGAUUCUAGAAAUCCAAGAGGUCGGCUUUGGUCUAUGGAGGUUUAGGAGGAGGAGGAGCUGGCUUGGGAGGAGAGUGAGAGAGGCUGAGAUGGAGGAGAAAUCGGGUCGGGUCGGGCUUUCGGUCUCCAAAUAUUUGAAGCCCGAGACCGAACCGAAAAUAUACAUUCGGGUCGGGCUUCGCACCGAACCGAGAUUUUCCAUACUAAAACCGAACCGAAUCGGGCUUUUUUGCUCGGUCCGGGUCGGGUCUUCGGUCUUUCGGGUCCGGACGCCCACCCCUAGUGACAACUCCUUCAACAACAACAACAACAAAGAGAGGAGGAAGAAAAAACAAAAGAAAAACAGUUAAAACACUGUCUAUUGCAUCCUUGAUUAUGGGCUACAAUUAAUCUUACAUCUAAAGUUUAAGACUCAAAUUUUAGAACACCUAUUGGAGUGGUUGUCUAGUAAACUAACGUCCGUACAAGAUAUAAGAAGUUGACUACAUACAUUGCACAAGACAUCAAUUUAUGAAGACCUUUGAUGUUCUCCUAUUUACUCCAUAAGAGUUGCACUACUUAUAAGAGAACAUUAGUUGUAUGACAAUGUCACGUGGUAGUCCGAACCAAUAAAAUCAAGAUAUUCACACAGAAUGAGCACACCGUUCCGCUUUUGUCCUAGUAUCAAUUUAUGAGACUUGUUUCUAACAGAAACUUUCAAAUGAUGCUAGAUUACCGCCAUCAAGUAGUGAGCGUGCAUUGGUUUUUGAAUUCACAAGGUAUUGCGCCAGUUUUGGCUAAUGUUGGAAAAUUGAUCUUGGGAAAUAAUAGAGAAAAUUCCACUCUAUCAUGUGGGUUUAUUAGUUUCAAGUAGCCUAAUUAUUACACAAAAACAGAAGGUCCCCUUGUAUACAUUGAAAAUUACGACAAAUUAAUACUAGGAAAAUAUACUCCUUACUUUUAGCACCCAAAGAAUUGACAACAUUACAGAGAGUUACCUAUGCCAUCCCAAAAAAAAAUCUGGUAACCAAAUGUCAAUUUCUUUUGCAGAUAC